rnacentral:rRNA from 1 species
AUUGAACGCUGGCGGCAGGCUUAACACAUGCAAGUCGAGCGGAGAUGAGGUGCUUGCACCUUAUCUUAGCGGCGGACGGGUGAGUAAUGCUUAGGAAUCUGCCUAUUAGUGGGGGACAACAUUCCGAAAGGAAUGCUAAUACCGCAUACGUCCUACGGGAGAAAGCAGGGGAUCUUCGGACCUUGCGCUAAUAGAUGAGCCUAAGUCGGAUUAGCUAGUUGGUGGGGUAAAGGCCUACCAAGGCGACGAUCUGUAGCGGGUCUGAGAGGAUGAUCCGCCACACUGGGACUGAGACACGGCCCAGACUCCUACGGGAGGCAGCAGUGGGGAAUAUUGGACAAUGGGGGGAACCCUGAUCCAGCCAUGCCGCGUGUGUGAAGAAGGCCUUAUGGUUGUAAAGCACUUUAAGCGAGGAGGAGGCUACUGAGACUAAUACUCUUGGAUAGUGGACGUUACUCGCAGAAUAAGCACCGGCUAACUCCGUGCCAGCCGCCGCGGUAA